UCUAAUCGUCGAAGAAAACGAGAGAGAAAGAGAGAGAGGGAAGAAAUGUUCCCCCCGCCCGGCCAUAUAUCACUGUAAUAGAACACGUGUGUCCACACAUUAAACCCACUGUCUUUAACGAGAUUAAAAUCCGACGUUAAGGACAGCAGCGAUCUCUAAACCGGCCGCCACCCGUCGGGGGAGGUGGCACGGAGAAUAUAACGACGCCGACGAUGACGACGACGACGACGACGACGACGACGACGACAACGACGACGACGACAACGACGACGAUAACGACGAUAAGGACGACAAUAACGACGACGACGACGACGACAACGCACCGGCCGAGACACACUACGGAUAUAGGUUAUAUUCUAUCUCUCUCUAUCCCUCCCUCCCUCGCUCACUCUAUCCACGCUCAUUCGCUCACUCGCUCGCUUCACAGUGCUCUCUCCCCACUUCUCCGCCCUAUCAUUACUCUACUCUACUCUACUCUACUUUCUCUCUCUCUCUCUCUCUCUCUCUGUCUUUAUAGCGCGCGUACGAUUCGCCCGCGAAGCAACGGACCUGCCCUCUAUCGAUGUAUCUAUGCACCAUUAACUUUCUUCUUCUUCAUUCGUUCAUUCCUUCCUUCCUACGUACGACCAGAAAGAAAUCGUAUAUUUUUUAUAUUUGAAUUUUGAAGAAACUUUUCUAUGCUGGUAGCUUCUGGUGAAAGAAUAUCCUUUUGGAAUUUGUUCUCUUUUAAUUUAUUUACUUUUUUUUUUCAUGACAUAACUGUAAUGUUAAAGUCAAGUCAAACACCGAAAUGUUGAAGCCCCGUUUUCCAUGAAGUCACGUGUUAGGGUCAUUGGUAUGCUGCUUUUUUUUCGAUCAAGGAUUUCGCAGAAUGCAUAGAAGAUCCGGAAGUGUAUCGUAUCUUUAUGAUGACAUUUUAAAGUCACUGAGUCGAGAAAGUGAUCAGAAGGUUAACGAUUGACAGAAUUAUCCAAGGAAAAGCUCGAUUUUUCUUGGUCAACGAUGCGAGAACGUUUAAAACUCAUUGACAAAACAAACAGAAUGGAUAUUUGAACGGCGCAUUAAUUGUCUGCCGAGCAAAAACCAGCAGAGGUAAAAAAUUCGCAAUUAUUUGCUGACAAGGUACAGAUAUGAACCGUUUCUCAAAUUGUAACGAGAAAUAGAUCGUUUAUUCAUUAAUUCAUUAUGAGCUAUUCAAACCGUAUGAAACUAUCACGACUAUUAUUUAUUGCCAAUAAUUGGAUGGAUCGAAAGAUAAACUUAAUGAAUUACGAUCAGUUUUAAUCGAUCGAAUUUUCGAGUUAAACUGGAAAGUUCUUAGUCAUAUUAUUACCCUGAUUUAGCAAUUACCGAUCAUUUUUAAGCCUCUUUUAAGCCUCUGAAGCAUAACAUUCGUAGCAAAAAAAAAAAUUUCAAAAUUUAACCUAAGUAAUGUAAAGCCAUCUCAAUAGGUUUUUUUUUCCAUUCGAAAUAUGUACAUGUUUUUAAAAAGUGAACCUGAGAAAGGGUUCAUUAAAUGGGAAACUAUCCUGAGUGAAGAAUGAAAUUAUAUCUUGAAUUGAUACUUAAAAACUUUUAUGAAGUAAUAAAGCUUUUUUUUUUUUUAAA